rnacentral:rRNA from 1 species
UACGUAGGGUGCAAGCGUUAAUCGGAAUUACUGGGCGUAAAGCGUGCGCAGGCGGCUUUGCAAGACAGAUGUGAAAUCCCCGGGCUUAACCUGGGAACUGCAUUUGUGACUGCAUGGCUGGAGUGCGGCAGAGGGGGGUAGAAUUCCACGUGUAGCAGUGAAAUGCGUAGAUAUGUGGAGGAACACCGAUGGCGAAGGCAGCCCCCUGGGUCAAAACUGACGCUCAUGCACGAAAGCGUGGGGAGCAAACAGG